rnacentral:rRNA from 1 species
UAACACAUGCAAGUCGAACGGAAAGGCCCUUCGGGGUACUCGAGUGGCGAACGGGUGAGUAACACGUGGGUGAUCUGCCCUGCACUUUGGGAUAAGCCUGGGAAACUGGGUCUAAUACCGAAUAGGACUACGCGAUGCAUGUCGUGUGGUGGAAAGCUUUUGCGGUGUGGGAUGGGCCCGCGGCCUAUCAGCUUGUUGGUGAGGUUACGGCUCACCAAGGCGACGACGGGUAGCCGGCCUGAGAGGGUGACCGGCCACACUGGGACUGAGAUACGGCCCAGACUCCUACGGGAGGCAGCAGUGGGGAAUAUUGCACAAUGGGCGCAAGCCUGAUGCAGCGACGCCGCGUGAGGGAUGACGGCCUUCGGGUUGUAAACCUCUUUCGCCAGGGACGAAGCGCAAGUGACGGUACCUGGAGAAG